GACGAACGCUGGCGGCGUGCUUAACACAUGCAAGUCGAGCGGAGCGGCGAACGGGUGAGUAACGCGGGAGUAACUGCCCCCCUCUCUGGGAUAACAGUUGGAAACGGCUGCUAAUACCGGAUAGUGGGGGAUGACUCGCGGCCUAUCAGCUUGUUGGUGGGGUAGUGGCCUACCAAGGCGACGACGGGUAGCCGGCCUGGGAGGGCGACCGGCCCCAUGGGGCUGGGAAACGGGCCAAACGCAUACGGGGGGCAGCAGGGGGGAAUAGUGCACAAGAGGGGAAGCCCUGAUGCAGCAACGCCGCGGGGGGGAUGACGGCCUUCGGGUUGGAAACCGCUUUCAGCCAUGACGCGGUAGUGGCAGAAGAAGCACCGGCUAACUACGUGCCAGCAGCCGCGGUAAUAC
rnacentral:rRNA from 1 species